GCAUUUUGUAUAAAUGUAGUUAAAGUUGAGAAAGUUUACACGGUAUAUUUUCUACGACGAAGUAUAAAGCGACAGAGUGAGUACUAAAAAUAUCGAUGAAGUGGAGAGAGCAGAUGCUGCCAGUGCUGUUAAAUUUUUUUCAUAUAAAUUAGGAUCAUGUUCAUGCAUUGCUACGGGUGUUAAAAUCCAAAUUAUCCUUUAUACUCUAUCCAUUCAAAAGUAUAAGAUGUUUCACUUUUUUUGAUCUUUGACCACUCCUCUUAGGUCUUGUUUAGAUCCAAAAGAUUUUUCGAUUUUGAUACUAGAGCACUUUCGUUUUUAUUUGACAAACAUUAUCUAAUCAUUAGGUAAAUAGGUUUAAAAGAUUCGUCUCGCGACUUAUAGGCAAACAGUGCAAUUAGUUUUUGUUUUCAUCUAUAUUUAAUGUUUCAUGCAUGUGCCAUAAAAUUCGAUGUGACGCGGAAUGUUGAAAAGUUUUUUUUGGUGAACUAAACAAGGUCUUAGGCCUUGUUUAGUUGGCAAAAAUUUUGGAUUUUGGGUACUGUAGCACUUUCGUUUGUUUGUGGCAAAUAUUGUCCAAUCAUAGACUAAUUAGGGUCAAAAGAUUCAUCUCGCGAUUUACAGGCAAACUGUGUAAUUAGUUUUUGUUUUCAUCUAAAUUUAAUACUUCAUACAUGUGCCACAAGAUUCGAUGUGACGGAGAAUCUUGAAUUUUUUUGGAAACUAAACAAGGCCUAUUCAAAAAAAUUAUGUAAACAUAGUCAAAUUUAAGCCAUUUCUAAAGGACUUUUAUUAAUAAACCAAGCCACGAUAAAAGAAGUGAUAUUUUGCACAAAGUUUUAAAUAAGAUGAGUGGCUAAACUU
rnacentral:lncRNA from 1 species